rnacentral:lncRNA from 1 species
CGGCACACUUAAUAUGAAAAGAAUCAUUAUCAAUUGGACAAAGUCUACAUUUUAAAUAAUCAAUUGCUUUUAAAUUAUUAGAAGCAUUAUCUAAAGUGACACUCAUUAUUUUAUCACAUAUUCCAUAAAAUUGUAAAAUACAGCUUAUUUUUGUUGCUAUAUAAGAACCGGUUUUAGUUUCUUCAACAUAUUUAUAUCCUAAUAUUCGUUUUUGC